rnacentral:rRNA from 1 species
UACAGAGGGUGCGAGCGUUAAUCGGAAUUACUGGGCGUAAAGCGCACGUAGGCGGCUUUGCAAGUCCCAUGUGAAAUCCCACGGCUUAACCGUGGAAGUGCAUGGGAAACUGCAGAGCUUGAGUACUUAAGAGGAUCGCGGAAUUCCCGGUGUAGAGGUGAAAUUCGUAGAUAUCGGGAGGAACACCAGUGGCGAAGGCGGCGAUCUGGGAAGAUACUGACGCUGAGGUGCGAAAGCGUGGGGAGCAAACAGG